UACGUAGGGGGCUAGCGUUGCUCGGAAUCACUGGGCGUAAAGCGCACGUAGGCGGCUUGUUAAGUCAGGGGUGAAAUCCUGGAGCUCAACUCCAGAACUGCCUUUGAUACUGGCGAUCUCGAGUCCGGGAGAGGUGAGUGGAACUCCGAGUGUAGAGGUGAAAUUCGUAGAUAUUCGCAAGAACACCAGUGGCGAAGGCGGCUCACUGGCCCGAUACUGACGCUGAGGCACGAAAGCGUGGGGAGCAAACAGG
rnacentral:rRNA from 1 species